rnacentral:lncRNA from 1 species
CUGUUCUACCACGAGCGUUAGUUGGCGUUAGUCAGAUACGUGAAAGGUGAAAGUGAUCAAAUACUUUUCAGGCUUGAAACGAGUUUUUGAUCAAUGCAGCUGUGUUGUAUUGGAACAACAUACACGUAGAUCCAAGUUUUGCGUCGUUUCGCAAUGGCUCAGCUGCUUGCAAAGUCCACACAUUCUCUGCUGUAUACGAGUCUUCUUGUAGCCACUGACGAUGUAUGUAGUAGGAACUGGAAGUUUCAAACAGGUUCCAACUCCCUAUGCUAUAGAAUAUCAAAGUGGGACACAGCCCGGCAUGUACAGUUAUGUCUCGAGGAAAUAUCUUUGUCAAAUACUAAAAGCGUAUAAUUUCAAAUUAUUGAGUAACAUAAUUUUCAAAUUUCAGAUAUGAUAUGGUGGAAAACGUCUGUUUCCUUAUUUGUAACACGCUUUGGAUAUACAUUGAUCUAGCAAGUACCAAAACUACAUAAAUCUGAGAAUUGUUCUUGACGUUGUAGACAUGUGAAAUUAAGUAAAAAAUAAAUACUAUAUUCAGUAUGUAGUGUCAAUGAUAGGUCAAAUUCCUUGACAUUUCCCAA